AACUGUACUGCUCCACAGAUGCCAAGGUCAGGAAACCUGCAAAGCCACAGGGAGGAAAGGAAAGAGCAACACAGUGAGAUGACUAAAGGACGUAACACUUCUGGAUGGGAAUUAUAUGCUCAAGAAUUGUUUUGAAAUGUACAACAAGGAAGAUAUUGGCAUUCUUCUUGCACCAUCAGCUGUUCAACAUCUGCGAGCUGCAAAGGAUAUCCACCUAAAGUAUGACAAGGAAGCAGUAGACUCGGCAUUCGCAAUGCUAAUGUUAUGUGCUUCCAAGGGAUGUGGCCAAAGGACAACCUGCAGAACACCUGUGCGCUCGAUCGGCAGCGCGAUCUGAGCAAAGUUCACCUUUGCUGAAGAUCCAAGCGUAAGAAACCGAAGCAGCAGACGGCUCCAAGGCACGAUCUGUGUGAGUUAAGUUUAGGGGAGCUCCAAAAAAGACGAAUAAAAAGUGUAUCCCCGGUGUUUGUUAUGUACUUUUAUUAUACUAUAACAAUAUAUUUCUGAACAAACCAUCUGAAACAUGGCGGAUCGGUGGCACUGCAGAAAGCCGAUGAAUGCUUGUCAAAGUGUGAAAAUGUACAAAGUAGCAUACGAUCUUACCA
rnacentral:lncRNA from 1 species